ACCCAAUAUCCUAAAUUUCUAACGAUGAUUCUGCUUGCUAGAGGAAAACUGGAAUUGGAAAGUGACGAUGCCCUGAGCGUGAGGUUCAAAGUUUGGGGCUUGCUUCUGGAAUUCCGUUGAGAGUUUGCAUUUGCCCAGAUGGGUGUAGGAAAAGAGACUGUCGCUGCUCUUGUUUGAAUCAUUGCUCGGUGCUUUUCUCGAGCAGGUAAAAGCUUUCCAAAUGAACGUAAAUGAAAAUUGCAAAAGGGAGCAACGGUGUUGCUAGUCUAUAGAAAGAAAAGAAAUC
rnacentral:misc_RNA from 1 species